UUUGAGUGGUCAAUUCUAUCUUGAUUCAUGCACCAACUUCACAAGUACUUGACUGUACCCAAAAAUCUUUCGAUCCUGAAUUAAAAAUUCAGAUAGUCGGACAUCAAAGCACAGUGAGUUACUUGCAAGUCAUCGUGAUGAUCUCAGAUCGGAGGGAUACUUAUAUCCAUAUCUCUUCAGAAUGACUCUUGAUAGUAGAGUACUCCAAAGUUUGUCACGUUCAGUGAAAUGUACUCCUACAUUUCAUUUGCAUACCAUACUAGUAUCUCUACGCUCC
rnacentral:lncRNA from 1 species